UACGGAGGGGGCUAGCGUUGUUCGGAAUUACUGGGCGUAAAGCGCGCGUAGGCGGACCUGCAAGUCGGGGGUGAAAGCCCGAGGCUCAACCUCGGAACUGCCUUCGAUACUGCGGGUCUCGAGUCCGGGAGAGGUGAGUGGAAUUCCUAGUGUAGAGGUGAAAUUCGUAGAUAUUAGGAAGAACACCAGUGGCGAAGGCGGCUCACUGGCCCGGUACUGACGCUGAGACGCGAAAGCGUGGGGAGCGAACAGA
rnacentral:rRNA from 1 species